GUCCCGCCCGCCGCCCCAGCCGCCAGGGACAUGUCUAACCUCGGAGGCCGUAGGAACGGGCCUGUCGAAGUGCGCCUGACAGGGACAUGCCACCCCCGUUUUAGGAGAACUUGUAUUUGGUUUGAGAAGGAAUUGGAAUCACGGCGUUAUCCUACCUUCACCAUUUACCCCUGAUAAAUUGUCCACGUUUAUAUUUGGGAAUCAUAUUGACAGGUCAUGAAAAUGAGACCAAAAGAUCUCUGGAAGCGAUUAAUGAUAAAAUUUCAUGGAGAAGAAGGCCUUGACUACGGAGGGGUUGCCAGGGUGAUGACAACUCCGUGAGGGUGGAGAUUAUACAUCUCUCAUCAUUUCAGCAACAAGGAAAUAAAUUAGUGGCAGAGUAAGGGUGACUUGAGAUCUCUUGGAAGCGAGGAUCCUUUAAAAAUCCUGGAAUAUACACUGCAGUAAAAGAACAAAGCAUACCUCAGCCUUAAACGACUGAAGAAGAAUGUCAAGUGGGGAAGUGGCUUUGGUUUUCAGUUUGUGGGUUCUGAAUCCACACAAAGACAGGAUUGCUUUCUGAAAACCUGAAUUAAUUAUUGUCCUUACCUCAAUAAGACAAAAAAUUAGAAUCAAAAUCGUUAGUAUUACAGUCACAGAUAUCACCAAGAUUAGUUUGUUGUUAUAGCCAUAUCCUGGAACUUCUUUCGUGAGCUAAAAAAAAAAAAAAAGAAAAAAGGAAAGAACAAUUAAAAAAAGAGUGAAAGCUAACUUUUCAAAACCCCAGUAUUCUAGUUGAGUAGCUUACAGGUUCUUUUUUUUUUUUUUUUGAGACAGGGUCUCACUCUGUCACCCAGGCUGGAGUACAGUGGUGUGAUCACAGUUCACUGCAGACUCGACCUCCCUGGGCUCAGGUGAUCCUCCCACCUCAGCCUCUAGAGUAGCUGGAAUUAUAGGCACAAGUCACCACACCCAACUAAUUUUUGUAUUUUUUGUGAAGAUAGGGUUUCACUAUAUUGGUCAAGCUGGUCUCAAACUCCUCUGACUUCAAGUGAUCUACCCACCUCGGCCUCCCAAAGUGCUGGGUUUACAGGCGUGAGCUACCAUGCCCAGCCUACAGUUCAUCCUGUGCACUAAUCUGUUUCACUCUCUAAAUGAACAAAGUGGGAGAUCACUGUCAUGGCCAAAGUUACAUGGCCAAGACAAACUAUGGCCUGGGAGUCCCAGGUUCUCCUGUGUGGGCACUUUCCUGGCAUAUGCUAAAUGAUGGGAAAGUCUGGGUCUCAUGUUUCUGUGUGGUCCUCACCUCACUCGACUUCUGCUCUUUCUGUUCACUCUGGGCUUCUGUGCUUUCAUUAAUAUAGUUCUUAGUUUUCCA
rnacentral:lncRNA from 1 species